UACGUAGGGUGCAAGCGUUAAUCGGAAUUACUGGGCGUAAAGCGUGCGCAGGCGGUGAUGUAAGACAGAUGUGAAAUCCCCGGGCUCAACCUGGGAACUGCAUUUGUGACUGCAUCGCUGGAGUGCGGCAGAGGGGGAUGGAAUUCCGCGUGUAGCAGUGAAAUGCGUAGAUAUGCGGAGGAACACCGAUGGCGAAGGCAAUCCCCUGGGCCUGCACUGACGCUCAUGCACGAAAGCGUGGGGAUCAAACAGG
rnacentral:rRNA from 1 species